rnacentral:rRNA from 1 species
UACGUAGGUGGCUAGCGUUGUCCGGAUUUAUUGGGCGUAAAGAGCGUGUAGGCGGCCAUGUAGGUCCGGUGUGAAAACUCGAGGCUUAACCUCGAGAUGUCAUCGGAAACCAUUUGGCUAGAGUCCGGAAGAGGAGAGUGGAAUUCCUGGUGUAGCGGUGAAAUGCGCAGAUAUCAGGAAGAACACCAAUGGCGAAAGCAGCUCUCUGGGACGGUACUGACGCUGAGAAGCGAAAGCAUGGGGAGCGAACAGG